rnacentral:rRNA from 1 species
GGGGCAUUUACUGCACGACAGUGCGAUAGGGGGAUCCCAAGUGCACAGGCAUAGCGCCUGUGCUUUUCGGUACCCUAAGGCGGUACCAGAAUAAGGGCUGGGCAAGACCGGUGCCAGCCGCCGCGGUAAUACCGGCAGCCCAAGUGAUGGCCGAUCUUAUUGGGCCUAAAGCGUCCGUAGCUGGCCGCGCAAGUCCAUCGGGAAAUCCACCUGCUCAACAGGUGGGCGCCCGGUAGAAACUGCGCGGCUUGGGACCGGAAGGCGCGACGGGUACGUCCGGGGUAGGAGUGAAAUCCCGUAAUCCUGGACGGACCGCCGAUGGCGAAAGCACGUCGCGAGAACGGAUCCGACAGUGAGGGACGAAAGCCAGGGUCUCGAACCGGAUUAGAUACCCGGGUAGUCCUGGCCGUAAACAAUGUCUGCUAGGUGUGGCUCCCACUACGAGUGGGUGCUGUGCCGCAGGGAAGCCGCUAAGCAGACCGCCUGGGAAGUACGUCCGCAAGGAUGAAACUUAAAGGAAUUGGCGGGGGAGCACUACAACCGGAGGAGCCUGCGGUUUAAUUGGACUCAACGCCGGACAUCUCACCAGCAUCGACUGUAGUAAUGACGAUCAGGUUGAUGACCUUAUCCGAGCUUCAGAGAGGAGGUGCAUGGCCGCCGUCAGCUCGUACCGUGAGGCGUCCUGUUAAGUCAGGCAACGAGCGAGACCCGCACCCUUACUUGCCAGCAGUACCGCGAGGUAGCUGGGGACAGUAGGGGGACCGCCGUGGCUAACACGGAGGAAGGAACGGGCAACGGUAGGUCAGUAUGCCCCGAAUGUGCUGGGCAACACGCGGGCUACAAUGGUCGAGACAAAGGGUUCCAACUCCGAAAGGAGACGGUAAUCUCAGAAACUCGAUCGUAGUUCGGAUUGUGGGCUGCAACUCGCCCACAUGAAGCUGGAUUCGGUAGUAAUCGCGUGUCACAAGCGCGCGGUGAAUACGUCCCUGCUCUGACAACCCCCCGCUCCCAAAAAAAAAAAAUUUUCCUUCGCCCG